rnacentral:lncRNA from 1 species
CAUCAUUUCCCAUGAGAUCUGCGAGCGCGUUGGACGUCCUGAAUGUAUGCCUCCAUGAGACGUUGAUACCCCUGCAAAUGAAUUCAAUAUCAUCAAAGAUCGAAACUAUAUACCAAGGUGGUAUAGACUUUCCGGAUGCCCAAUAUAUAAUUUUGUAUGCGUCCCCUUUAACUAUCAAGUGGGAACCCCAAGAGGGGUUAAAAAGCUUGAGCCCUAUCAGCAGUGCCAUUGCUUCAGCAUGUUGUGAAUCAGUAUAGCCAAGGGGUUCAGCGUACGUGAGCAAAAUAUGCCUUUCAUGAUCUCGGAAUACUCCCCAACCCCAGCUGGCCUUGGGUUGCCCCUUGAGCAACCAUCAAAAUUGAGUUUGAUAGUUCCUCUCGGGGGUGGUUGCCAGUUGUUGGGUUUUUGAGAUUUCCUUGGUUGAUGAAAAAUGAUGUUAUAGAAAAAGCUGUAUUAAAGGAAAUUAAAAAAAAAGCAGGACACUCAGAAACUGGAUUUCAAUUCUAUAAAGCUCAGUCGGAAAAUAAGGAAGCAUACACAUUUAUCUGCAACAAGUCAGAAAAGUCAAUGAGAAUAAAUGGCUUCUUUUCAUGCCUGCAAUACAAAUAAGAACUUAGUAAAAGAUCAUAGAUUCUCACAACGAAGAAGAAUCUAAUAAGUCUAAUACUAAAGAAAUGGCCUUAACUUUCAAUCAAAUGCAUGAAUCAUCUCAUGUAUUUACCAUGACUGACCUAAAACACA